rnacentral:rRNA from 1 species
ACUUCAGAUAUGAUCCAGAGUACCACGGGACACGUGAAACCCUGUGGGAAGCAGGAGGGACCACCCUCCAAGGCUAAAUACUACCUAGUGACCGAUAGCGUAUAGUACCGUGAGGGAAAGGUGAAAAGAACCCCGGGAGGGGAGUGAAAUAGAACCUGAAACCCUGCACUUACAAGCUGUGGAAGCACAUUUCUUGUGUGACCGCGUACUUUUUGUAGAACGGGCCAACGAGUUACGUUAAGUAGCAAGGUUAAGCACUUAAGGUGCGGAGCCGUAGCGAAAGCGAGUUUUAACUGAGCGUUCAGUUACUUGACGUAGACCCGAAACCGGGCGACCUACCCAUGAGCAGGAUGAAGCGAAAGUAAAAUUUCGUGGAGGUCCGAACCCACGAGCGUUGAAAAGCUCGGGGAUGACUUGUGGGUAGCGGUGAAAUUCCAAUCGAGCCCGGAGAUAGCUGGUUCUCCCCGAAAUAGCUUUAGGGCUAGCCUCAAGGUGAGAGAUACGGAGGUAGAGCACUGAAUGUCCUAGGGGGUAUUGCACCUACCGAAGACUAUCAAACUCCGAAUGCCGUCAUCUUAUACUUGGGAGUCAGACUGUGGGUGAUAAGAUUCAUAGUCGAAAGGGCAACAGCCCAGAUCGUCAGCUAAGGUCCCUAAAUGUAAGUUAAGUGGUAAAGGAUGUGGGAUUGCACAGACAACCAGGAUGUUGGCUUAGAAGCAGCCACUCAUUCAAAGAGUGCGUAAUAGCUCACUGGUCGAGUGAUCCUGCGCCGAAGAUUUCCGGGGCUAAAACUUACUACCGAAGCUACGGCAUCAGUAAUGAUGGGUAGGGGAGCUUCCCAUACGGGUUGAAGCAUGACCGUAAGGACAUGUGGACAGUAUGGGAGUGAGAAUGUUGGCAUGAGUAGCGAGAUGUGGGUGAGAAUCCCACAGGCCGUAAACCCAAGGUUUCCAGGGGAAGGUUCGUCCGCCCUGGGUUAGUCGGGACCUAAGCUGAGGCCGAAAGGCGUAGGUGAUGGACAACAGGUUGAU